CCAAGCUCUCUCCGCUACAUCACCAAUACUUUUUUCCCUGGCUGCGGUGUGUUUGUGCUUGAGCGAGUGUAUGGCGAAACCGGUUCUGUGCUGAUCCAGUUUGUGCGAUCCCAUGCACAGAGCCAGGAGCAGCGUACCUCUUGCCAACAUCCUGCCUCCACUCUGCUGCCUUUUCUGCUUUGAUUUCACACUGUCUGCUUUUCCACCAGACCUUUUCUUUCUUUAACUCUCUGCUCUCUUCCAAGAAUGAUCUAGGAAGAGGGGAAAGAAAUAAGAGAAAGGUGUCUGCGUGAAGGGGAGAUGAGGAGGCAGAAAAGGAGAGAGAGAGGGGAGAGGACUAGAGAAGACUGGAGUUAGGCUGCAACACGAGAGGCAAAGCAACGAGGAGAGGGAGAAAGAAGAGAGCAACAGGGAUCGAGGGAUGAUCGAGGUGGAAUCGGGCCGAAAACGCAGGAAAAGGAGGGAAAAAUUGCCAGACUCAUCCGACCUCUGCUGUGUGGGGACCGGACCCAUCACCUGACUGCCCUCUCCUGUCUUCCUGGUCCUCAGCAGAACAGCCAUGAGGUAGAGUCGGACAUUUUGGAAAAUUGUAUCCAGCGACAUCUUGCUAAGAUGGAUGCAAAGGCUUCUCUCUUCACCCUUCCACAUCCUCCUUUAACCCUGCACGACCAUCAUGUCCUGUGUCCCCAUCUCACCCUGUGAGUGAGAGCACAGCUCCUGUCCUUCAUUUGAACCACUGUCAGACUAACAAAGGCAACAUCUACCUGUAAUUGCCAGUGAAGACUGGGAGACAGUGGCUCAACCAGUAGGAGUUAGAAGAGAGAAAGGGCAGAAUUGCUCUUUAAGUCCUCAUAAGCAGAUGUAGCCAUUCUUGGCCAAUAGCAUAGAGUUGUUAAAUUGCAGAGCAGACCCACACCAUCAGGCUGGAGAUUGUCAAGUGUUACAUAGUGGUAUAUUAAGUGUAGGGGAAUUAUACUGACUGGGACUAUUUUAUUCUGAUUGACACAGCUCAGUGGACUGCCUAGGAGGUCCGUAGAGGCAAACGUCUCUAAAGAGCUAUUAGAGAAAUGAUUCAGAGCCGAGGUUAUUAAGAGAGUAUAUUACAUAUUAACAGAAUAUAUUAGGUAUGAAUACACACACUGUCAAUCAGUAUAUAUCUAGAAGGUAUGUAUUAUAUUGUAUGUUACACCGCAGCAUUGUUGAAUACUUGUUUCUGAUUGGCGAGAAUGGACAUUAACAAGUUCUUAUACAGAAUGUCUGGAAUUUAUAUGACAUGUUUCAUAUUGAUCAGAUUUGCUGCGUUUCUGCCGCAAACCCAACACAGUAGCCGGCCGGUUGCCUUAGAAAUGAAAAUGUCAGACGAGGUCAUAGCUUUUUGUCGUCGGUGCGACUAUGCGGUUCUUUUUUCUUUCGUAAAAAGGCGUUUCAUCCAUCAGACCAUGUUUGCUAAUGUGAAACCCCU